GAUGAACGCUGGCGGCGUGCCUAAUACAUGCAAGUCGAGCGAACAGACGAGGAGCUUGCACCCCUGACGUUAGCGGCGGACGGGAGAGUAACACGUGGAUAACCUACCUAUAAGACUGGGAUAACUUCGGGAAACCGGCGCUAAUACCGGAUAAUAUAUUGAACCGCAUGGUUCAAUAUUGAAAGACGGUUUUGCUGUCUCUUAUAGAUGGAUCCGGGCCGCAUUAGCAAGUUGGUAAGGUAACGGCUUUCACAGGCAACGAGGCUUAGCCGACAUGAGAGGGACGUUGGCCAGAUGGGAACAGAGGAACGGUCGAGACACCGACGGGGGGCAGCAGUAGAGAAUCUUCCGCGAGGGAGGAAUGCCGGACGUAGCAACACGGCGGCAGUGAUGAAGGUCUUCGGAUGGGAGAGCGCUGUUAUUAGGGGGGAAGAAAAGUGUAAGUAACUAUGCACGUCUUGACGGUACCUGGACAGGAAGCCACGGCUAACUUCGUG
rnacentral:rRNA from 1 species